UACGAAGGGUGCAAGCGUUAUCCGGAUUCACUGGGUUUAAAGGGUGCGUAGGCGGGCAGGUAAGUCAGUGGUGAAAUCUCCGAGCUUAACUCGGAAACUGCCAUUGAUACUAUUUGUCUUGAAUAUUGUGGAGGUAAGCGGAAUAUGUCAUGUAGCGGUGAAAUGCUUAGAUAUGACAUAGAAUACCUAUUGCGAAGGCAGCUUACUACGCAGAUAUUGACGCUCAUGCACGAAAGCGUGGGGAUCAAACAGG
rnacentral:rRNA from 1 species